UCUCUCUCUAUGCGCAUGCGCUGGUUGAGUGGACGGAGUGUGUGGGCAAGAGCGUGUGGCUGCUGUAUAAGCUUGGCAGAACAUGUAACCGGCUCUGUUCAGUUGAAGAUGCCUUGCUCCACUGACAGUGGAUUUAUGCCCUCUUGAAUCUUCAUCAUCAUUCUUGUCAGUCAGAGCUGUACGAAGAAUCCAUCGCCGACUCCACUAUCUGGACAAACUGUCAGACCCAUCCACAAAAACAUGCUCCUCGGUCUGACUCCUGUCAAAAAAGUAAUCUGCUUCAAGGAGAUGUACUUCAUGUUUGCUGUAAUGGCAGAUUCUUGUUGUAAUGAGCACAGGCCCUCCAUCUGAGCAUAUUUUGAUAGUGUUAUUUAUAGAUAAAGAAAUGUUUGUUUUUUCCUGCAGUUGAGAGUCUGUCAAAACCCGCACACAACAGAGCUGAAUAUUGCUGUAUGUGUCACUGAAGUGAGGAUUUAUUAUUUUAAAAUUUUGAAAACAAAAUACCUAUUUUAAAAGGAAAAAAAAAAUAGCUGUAUUAUUUUUACUAUACGAGGUCACAGAAAUAACCACCUUUUGUCUCCAAAGGCUCUUUCUUGUUGCCCCAAAGCACUAGAUUCAUUUAUUUGCUCGGACCUUCAAUGGCCAUGACUCUGGUAAAGAAAUUAAAUGCCAAAACAUGUCUCUUAUUGACCAUUUUCUCUUGAGGGUCUAUAUUACGCAAUUCUUCAAUAUGAGCAAAACAGCAACUGUGGUUUAAAAUGAGGGGUAAAAUAUUUUUCGGUAAUGUCCAUUUGUGUAAUAGAUGGGAAGUGUACAAAGUAAAAUACUUUGUAACAUCAUUCUGGUAUCAGUGGUGCUUCACUUCUACAGGCAUGUAUCUGUAUAUAUUUUAUAAAUAUAAGGCUAAACAUUUGAACAUGUAUGUUACUGGAACAUAUGUAACCUUCUGUAGACAUAAAUGAAUGGAAUGUCAACAUCAUGUGAUUACUGCUGAUUAAUUUGUACUUAAACAAAAAUAAAAUCCCCUGUGCAAGCAU
rnacentral:lncRNA from 1 species